GGGUCGAUGCUUGAGUGGUUAAAAAGGACGGACUGUAAAUCCGUUGGCAUUGCCUACGCUGGUUCGAAUCCGGCUCGGCCCA
rnacentral:tRNA from 1 species